rnacentral:snRNA from 1 species
GGAAGCGUGUGCUAGUGAUGGCACAACUGAACAUUGAUCGCUAACGUAGAGCUAUGGCAGAUCUGCUCAGUGGGUGUUGUCACGUUGUCGUAAGCUUCAAGUAGCUUUGAGUGUCAGACUCCCGAUUGCGCAUGCAUCUUCGUGGCUUGUCUCUUACGACCACGGAUUUGCACGCCUGCACGGUCUGAGUCUUCACGUCACUCCUCGAAGUACCGCGAUUUCCAAAUUGGGGGGCAAUCGAAUAGGUCAGACGAGGUAAUUUGUCGCUUCCAUAUGCAGGCACUGCUGAUGGCGGUACGCCAUUUUUUG